rnacentral:misc_RNA from 1 species
GGAAAAUAUUAUUGCGAUUACUGCGAGAAGCAAUUCCAAGACACUCCUUUCGCUCGAAAACGCCAUCUUCAAAGCCUUUCCCAUCAGAAAGCCAAAGCUCUCUGGUUCGACUCCUUCAAUCAACCUUUCUCUGAUUCCUUCCACUUCCGGCGGGGCUUUUGUAAUCGGUUCCUCACUACGGGUUUCUGCCAGUACGGUGAUUCUUGUAAAUAUUUUCACCCCAACAACAACAAUACUACACACAACUCCACUUCUCACCCCAUUGCAAAUAUUCCGGAAAAUAAUCAACCCCCAAAUAUUCCGGUGAAUCCA